rnacentral:rRNA from 1 species
UCCAAUCGAACUCGGAGAUAGCUGGUUCUCCCCGAAAUAGCUUUAGGGCUAGCGUUGCAUUAGAUUACCGGAGGUAGAGCACUGAAUUGGCUAGGGGGCGAUGAGCUUACUGAACCUUAUCAAACUUCGAAUGCCGGAUAAUUGAUGUGCAGCAGUCAGACAGUGUGAGAUAAGUUUCAUUGUCGAGAGGGAAACAGCCCAGACCCACAGCUAAGGUCCCAAAUAUAUGCUAAGUGGAAAACGAUGUGGGGUUGCGAAAACAACCAGGACGUUGGCUUAGAGGCAGCCACUCAUUGAAAGAGUGCGUAAUAGCUCACUGGUCGAGUGACCCUGCGCGGAAAAUAUAACGGGGCUAAGCAUAUAACCGAAGCUUGGGAUGUCUUUUGACAUGGUAGGGGAGCGUCGUGUACGGGGUGAAGUACGAGCGGAAGCACGUGUGGACUGUACACGAGUGAGAAUGCCGGAAUGAGUAGCGAGAAUUAUGUGGGAAUCAUAAUGGCCGAAAAUCUAAGGUUUCUUGGGGAAGGUUCGUCCGCCCAAGGUAAGUCGGGAGCUAAGGCGAGGCCGAGAGGCGUAGUCGAUGCACACACGGUUGAAAUUCCGUGACCACCGAAAGAUUUAAGCGAGCUGACACAUAGAGAUAACCGGACCCCGGCGUUGGUCGACCGGGGCGAAAGGGACCGAACAUCAGUAGGGAAGCCGGUGAUGCUCUGUGGCGAGAAAAGGCUCGAGGUACAUCUGAGGUGCCCGUACCGCAAACCGACACAGGUAGAUGAGGAGAGAAUCCUAAGGCCAGCGGGAGAAGGGUUGUUAAGGAACUCGGCAAAUUGACCCCGUAACUUCGGGAAAAGGGGAGCCUACUACGGUAGGCCGCAGAGAAUAGGCCCAAGCGACUGUUUACCAAAAACACAGGUCUCUGCUAAAUCGAAAGAUGACGUAUAGGGGCUGACGCCUGCCCGGUGCCGGAAGGUUAAGAGGAGGGCUUAGCGCAAGCGAAGGUCUGAAUUGAAGCCCCGGUAAACGGCGGCCGUAACUAUAACGGUCCUAAGGUAGCGAAAUUCCUUGUCAGGUAAGUUCUGACCCGCACGAAUGGCGUAACGAUUUGGGCACUGUCUCAACAGCCCGCCCGGCGAAAUUGUUGUACUGGUGAAGAAGCCAGUUACCCGCAACUAGACGGAAAGACCCCAUGGAGCUUUACUGUAGCUUAAUACUGAAGAUUGGUAAUGCAUGUACAGGAUAGGUGGGAGCCUGAGAAACCUGGGCGUCAGCUUAGGCGGAGGCAACCUUGGAAUACCACCCUUGUAUUGCUGGUUUUCUAACCUGCGGCCGUGAAUCCGGUCGGGGGACACUGUUAGGUGGGCAGUUUGACUGGGGCGGUCGCCUCCAAAAGAGUAACGGAGGCGCUCAAAGGUUCGUUCAGCACGGACGGAAAUCGUGCAAUGAGUGUAAACGCAUAAACGAGCCUAACUGCGAGACCGACGGGUCGAGCAGUAACGAAAGUUGGAGUUAGUGAUCCGGUGGUAUGUGAGUGGAAAUGCCAUCGCUCAACGGAUAAAAG